GUAGGGCACUAUAUGGGGUAUAGGGCCUUGGUUAAAGGUAGGGCACUAUAUGGGGAAUAGGGCCUUGGUUAAAGGUAGGGCACUAUAUGGGGAAUAGGGCCUUGGUUAAAGGUAGGGCACUAUAUGGGGAAUAGGGCCUUGGUUAAAGGUAGGGCACUAUAUGGGGAAUAGAGCCUUGGUUAAAGGUAGUGGACUAUAUGGGGAAUACGGCCUUGGUUAAAGGUAGGGCACUAUAUGGGGAAUAGGGCCUUGGUUAAAGGUAGGGCACUAUAUGGGGAAUAGGGCCUUGGUUAAUGGUAGGGCACUAUAUGGGGAAUAGGGCCUUGGUUAAUGGUAGGGCACUAUAUGGGGAAUAGGGCCUUGGUUAAAGGUAGGGCACUAUAUGGGGAAUAGGGCCUUGGUUAAAGGUAGGGCACUAUAUGGGGAAUAGGGCCUUGGUUAAUGGUAGGGCACUAUAUGGGGAAUAGGGCCUUGGUUAAAGGUGGUAAAUAAAUAAAUGUUAUACUUGGACAAUAA
rnacentral:lncRNA from 1 species